rnacentral:lncRNA from 1 species
UUAUUGAUAAUCAGUUUAUAAUUUCAUAAUGUGUGUAAUAAUUUCUUGCUAUUUUUAAAUUUAUAUUAUUGUAUUGGUGUAGAUACAUGAAGAUUUUUACCAGACUGUAAAGCUCACAAAAUCUCUUUCUUUUUUCUUUCAAAGUUGUAGGUCGCUUGGUAUUUGGCUCUAAUUGAGAUCAUGAGUGAAAGAAUGAAUAGAUAGACCAUCACUGAUACAUUUAUCCCAUCAAAUUGUAGUUUGAAGAUACUUUUAGCCAUUAGAUAGGCUGCAUGAGCCAUUGUGAGACAAAAAUGGCCAUUUUUAUUUACUAAAAACUACCUGUUAUUGUUAUUAAG